AAACCAGGACCAGAAGAAUCUUAUUUUUUCUAUAUGGAAACCCUUGUAAUGGAAGACAUGGGACGAAUACAUCGAACCUUGCUGUGCCAAGGUCCUGUGGAACUCACAAGGGGCAGGAAAACGAGUAAAAGACACCUGUCCUUAUUUAAGAUGUUUUGGUUGUGUCUAGUAACCUGUGGGAAUAAGAACAAGUUUAAGAUCAAAUGUAUCCUCCCACUGGAUAACCUGUGGACUGUGGAUAAUGUGGACCUAGUCAAAAAAAAUCAAACCUGUCCUUGCAAGAACCUUUUCCUGUUUUUGCCAGAUGGAAAUUUUUUGGCCACCUUUUGCCAUUAUGUGUAACAGCAACAAAAUUCGAUAAGGUGAAUGAUAUAAUUAAGUAGUUACUACCAAUGAUAAGAAUACCUAACAGUGGAGAUUAUCAACUGUGGUUCUGUCCUGGCCACGAGUAAACUCCAAGAGCACUCCAAGGUUGUGAGAAUCCACAUGACAUUAUAAUGACACAACUUCAAAAUACCUUCAGUAGACUGAACUCAAGAAUUUCCACAGCUUUUCCCAUCUUGCCUGGGUUGUUGGUGAAAGACACAAAUGCAGAUGCACAGGGGCAAUUCAUCUUAAAGCCCCGAGACUCAACUAGCACCCAGCAGUAAAGGCAUCCUGUCCCUAAUAAGGGAAAAGGCUCCACAACAGAGGCCAUAUUCAUAUCUCCCAAUGAGACAUCAUGCAAAACAUUAAAGGAAAAGUUGGAUCCUGGGAAGAGGUGGAUAUAAACAAUCACUCGGUCCCUGAAGUGGCCUGGAACCUAAAGAAAAACUCCCAGAACCAAAUGUUGCUCUUCUGGGACAACUUUUUAGGAUUUUACCUAAAAUUGCAAGAAAUUCUUCUGUUAACAAAAUGCCAUCUCACCAUCUAUCUGCUGAGAUAGCACCAUAUAUCUUAUGGCAAUAAAGUCCUGGAAAAUUUUAUUGCC